rnacentral:rRNA from 1 species
GUAACGAAUCUUCCGCAAUGGGCGAAAGCCUGACGGAGCGACGCCGCGUGUGGGAUGAAGAUCUUCGGAUUGUAAACCACUGUCAGGGAUUACCAAGCGAUGGGGACUAACAGCCCCCGGAGUUGAGGCGUCCCAGAGGAAGCCACGGCUAACUUCGUGCCAGCAGCCGCGGUAAGACGAAGGUGGCAAGCGUUGUUCGGAAUCACUGGGCUUAAAGAGCAUGUAGGCGGCUCAUCAAGCGUCUUGUGAAAUCCCUCGGCUCAACCGAGGAAUUGCUGGGCGAACUGAUUGGGCUUGAGGCAGGUAGGGGCGCGUGGAACUCUUGGUGGAGCGGUGGAAUGCGUAGAUAUCAAGAGGAACGCCAGAGGCGAAAGCGAUGCGCUGGGCCUGUCCUGACGCUGAGAUGCGAAAGCCAGGGGAGCAAACGGGAUUAGAAACCCGAGUAGUCC